CAGCUCUCCUUGUUCAAUGCAAACGUAACAACUGCUGCCCGCGCUGAAAAAUUCCAACUUAUGAUGGAAAUCCUCUGCAGUCAACACAUUUAUGAAGGCGUUUGAGCACUGCUUGGAAGCAAAGACCAGCUGUAACGGAGACUGUUUGUACUAUCUUGAGCAAUACACUAGGGGGCAGCCAAGGGAUAUUAUACGCAGUGCUUUCAUAUGACUGCAGAUAAAGGAUUUGCUGUUGCCGAGAAGUUGCUCAAGGUGCACUUUGAAAAUGAGUAUCAGAUAACAGCGGACUACAUGGAAAAGACAAGCAUGAGUAAUGUACAGCAGUGGAAACAGAGACCUGAAUGAGAAGAGAAUCAAAGUCUCAGUCAGACUGCAGGAGGAGUGUGUGAUGGUGUCCCUCAGGGGUCAUCUGUACACACACAUUCAUUCCUGCUGACUCAAACAUUCAUCAAGAACAAACUCACUCUGAGAGAUUAUACCCAGAAGGACAUGUUGUUGUUGGAUCAUCAGUAAUAUUUCUGUUUGGAUAAAAGUUGACUUUAUGUAAUCUAUGUUUGAUUUUCUCUGCUGCAGAUUCUCGUCUGGAUGAAGUUAUCCGCUUCUACAAAGGUUCUCUUCUGGAGGGAGUUAUCCGCUUCUACAAAGAUUCUGAUCUGGAGGAAGUUAUCCGCUUCUACAAAGAUUCUGAUCUGGAGGAAGAAGAGAUGUCCGAUCAUCACUAUGGU